GGAUGUGAGGGCGAUCUGACUGUGACAUCUGUCACCCCAUUGACAGCCAGGUUGCUGCUGCUGAUGUGGCUAGUUAAUUGGGUGUUCUCUACCUCACUGCUUCAUUUUCAUCCCUCCUGAAGCUGUGCAUGAGAUUGAACAGGAAGAGGAUGGCCUCCCCCGAUAGAGGAGGGUUGUUUUUCAGUCACCAGUAUAUGGGUAUCUGGUAUGUGGGUAGCUGCGUGCUCCCUUUUCCCUGGUAGAAGCUGCAAACAAGCUGUAAAGGUCAAUUUGUAAGAGAACUAGGGUACUCAAGCUUCUAAAACUCCAGACACAUCCAAAUGAGGUUCUGCAAGUGGCAGUCUGCCUUAAAAG
rfam:Pteropus alecto contig165281, whole genome shotgun sequence.